GAAAAACAUGCCUCUUCUUUCUUCAGCUGUCGGCUUAUAGGGCUUCCCGAGCAAGGUUUUGCUGGGUCCUCAGACGGUGUCCCCUCCAUCGGCUGCACUCUUGGGGGCUCCACCCUCUGCCCCACACACCUCCACUCGCUGUGCGCUGUAGCUGGCAGAAUAAUGGCCCUCCUAAUCUCCAGAACUUGUGACGAUGUCACCUUGCAUGGCCAAAGGGACUUCGAAGGAAGAGAUAUGACGGCAGAAGGGUCACAGAUAUGCAACAAUCCUGGCUUUGGAGACGGAAGAGGGGCCAGAAGCCGAGGAAUACAGCAGUCUCUCGAAACUGGAAACGGCAAGGAGACGGAUUCUCGCCUGGAGCCUCAGAGAGGAGCCAGCCCUGCGACACCUGGAUGGUAGU